rnacentral:rRNA from 1 species
AUUGAACGCUGGCGGAAUGCUUUACACAUGCAAGUCGAGCGGCAGCACGGGGGCAACCCUGGUGGCGAGCGGCGAACGGGUGAGUAACACAUCGGAACGUACCCUGUCGUGGGGGAUAACGAGUCGAAAGAUUCGCUAAUACCGCAUACGACCCGAGGGUGAAAGCGGGGGAUCGCAAGACCUCGCGCGACUGGAGCGGCCGAUGGCGGAUUAGCUAGUUGGUGGGGUAAAGCCCCACCAAGGCGACGAUCCGUAGCGGGUCUGAGAGGACGGCCCGCCACACUGGGACUGAGACACGGCCCAGACUCCUACGGAGGCAGCAGUGGGAAUUUUGGACAAGUGGGGCAACCCUGAUCCAGCCAUUCCGCGUGAGUGAAGAAGGCC